AAUCGCAUUGCAUCGCAUCGCACUCGCACAGGCUAACAUUAGGAUUGGAUUGGAGUGCUGUCGUCGUGUCGUCUGCCGCUCAAUUGCAAAUGUGAAAUAAUUGAUUGAGGUUACUCAGGUUAUGUUUUUAUCUAUGUUGAGGAAUUUCAAUAAACUUAGUUUAUUUAGUUAUUCCCAAUUUUAAGUGAGUUUGAAAACGCUUUGCCCUAUUAGAGUCAAACUAUUAAUAGCUUAACUGAAUCAGCAAAAUAAAAAUAUCAAAUCAAUUGCGCAAACUAUGAUGUCUUUUAGAAAACCAAUUUAGGCCUUUUACUUAUGGUUUCUGAAGUUCAAAUAUAAAAAACCAAAUAUUAUUACUCCAGAAUUAUUAUUCUAGGUUCCAAUUAUUGUUUGGGGAGGAGGGGGAUUUAUUUACAUACAAUUCCCCCAUUGAUAAUUAUAUUAGGAUGUAGCCUAUUUAAGUUAAUACAAAUAAAAUUAAAAGUAUGCUGGUCAUUUAAAAGAAUGAAACUGACACAAUAAGUUAAGAUAGGUAAGUCAUAUAGUAUGUUGGAAACAGAGCAUAUUUUAAGGGAUUUCCACUGGGCAACAGAGGCGCCGGACUUACCGGGUGUUGAUGUGAUACCUGGGGUCGGAGGGUUCCCCCGGAAAUUUUUGCUUAGCUUAAAUUAAAGUGAAAAGAACACAUAUUUCUACGCAUCUUCUAAUGAAUUUUUCGAUUAUACUUAUUCGCUUGUAAAUAGUCCAUAUAAUCUCACUUAAUUAUGUACCGGAAUCCUAGAAUGUCAUAACAGGCCAAGGCUCCCUUCACAACCUCUUGGGCCAAAAUCAUAGCUCAAUAGCCUACUCUAAAAUAUUUACAUAUUUUUUUUUUUAUUCGUAUACAUUUCAAAUGUGAAUUAUUAAAAAAAAUAUGCUGGCACCACCCAUAGUCACUGGCCGACAAAAUCUCAGCACUGUGUCACCCAUUUAACAUGUUAUUUUAUAUGCCCUGUGUUGGAAUGUAAAAUAAAAUAAGGCCCUAAAUAAAAGCUUGCUUCAGCCUGAAACUUAGGUGUGUUGGUUAGGUAAAAUUUUAAAAUUUAACAAAUUUUACCUUCAAAUUAACUCAUAGAACACAUCUUUUUAACAGGCCCUCUGGUGAGUGGUGAAAAAACAGUAACACUUUACUCUUUGCAUGCAUCUUUACUAAUCAAAUUCAUUCAAUACUUACCUACUAGAAAUAAUUAUUUUAAUAAGUCUGGUUAAGUUAGUUAUUUUUUUCUGUAUACAAAUGUUACAGCUUUAUUUGUUUUAAUCUACUUAUGGAUUGUAGGCUACUGUAACUUAAAAUUGACUAAAAUACAGCCACAAUUUUAACUAGAAAUGUUGGCAUUCAUUCUUAUAAUCCCACCAAGAUGCCUUAACCUAUUAAGGAUAACUUAGACUAUCUGGGUGAGGUUUUAAUUACCUUAAUUACCACUGUGUUGCCGAUGACAGAUGAUUUGGAUAGGGGUCCUCCAAACAAUUGACCUUUAAUGAACGACAAGAUAUCUUAUUGUAAUUAUGUUUAUCUUAAUUAUGUGAGUGUGAGUCAAUUAAGCAAAUUUGGUUAGAUAUUGUAUUGAAUUUGGAUGCAAAGAAACGUAGCCUACAAUAAAGGAAAUGGGAUCCACUUUUACAAAUUUCUAUUAACUCGCCCAAAGCUGUUGAAAUCCUGGGAAAAGGCUGUCAAAAGAAAAAAAUCUGAAAGAAACUGUUUAGUAUUGAUUCUUUGCAGUAAACAUUUAUCUGAUGAUGAAGUUUAAGUUAGAUAAGACUUGGAGCACUUGUCAAGCUCCUUAAAGAUGACGCUGAACUCACCGAUUAUGUAGGUACAGCAGUUCAGAAAAAAAAAAACACCGCCGUGGACAACUUUUCUAUGGAUAGCCUGAUAUUGUUGAGACUCCAAUUGAACCCAUGGAGAUUAAGACUCCAAGACAAAGCACAGGGAAAAUCAAACGGAAAUCAACCAAAUCCACCACAGCAAACACACUCAAAUUGAUAGUUCAGUUUCUCCAAUGAAAAAACUCCAAAUGUAAUGACCUAAGACUUGGACAAAAGAAGAAUCACUUUGUUUUUGUGAAAUGUUUAAAUACACUGUAU